UUCGCUUGUUCGAAAGCUGCGCAAAAUCCGAGGCAGAAUCAACAACACCGUGAAAAGUUGGCCGAAUACGCUCCUGGGGAGGCUUCUUCCACUGCGGCCGCAGUGCAGACCGGAUAUAAACAACAUUCGAGCCCAGGUCCAGCCAUGGGCAGGAAUAGACGGAAUCAUUGAGCUUGUUUUUGGAGGUCGGAUGUACCGCAGCUGCUGGAGAUAUCCAAAACAAAUUCAGCGUUUGGUAGUCAUCAGAAAGUGCAUAAUUUGGUUGGUUUACGGAUGACUCUUAUCGGACCGUAGGCGGGACAUCACCGACGAAGGAAUCGAUUUGGAAGCAAAAAGAUACGGGGAAUCAAGCGGAGGAUGUGAUAAAAGCGAGGAUGAAGGCCGGAAACCGAGCGAAGACCGACCAGCCUAGCUCCAUGGCUUGGGAGCUUUUCAUUCACGCUGCUCGGGAAGCUGAUAAACGCGGUUGCAGAAGCGACAACAAAAUUGGACCAAGGACCGUUCUGCAUGAUUCGGCGCAGUUUGAAAAUGUUAAUUCGAAUAAUUUCUGUAAUUAUCGCUAGGGUAAGUGUGCCGAUCGUUGUGGUAAUAAGGUAAAUUAAUUCAAAAAAAUAUGAUCGUACCAUCUAAUGAACGGUUUCAAAACGUUAGUCGGUAGUUUUCUAUCCAAAUUUGCUGGGAAAAAUAUGAAAACUAUCGUUUCUCUCUGUUUUCGAUCAAUAAUCGCAUACCACAACAAUAGGCACACUGUUCCUAUUAUGGAGGUAAAAUUUAAUUUUGGUUCCUAUUGUUGCGGUAUCCCAUUGAAAUCAUAUGGGAUACCGCAACAUUAGGAACACUACCGCAACAAUAGGAACACAGCAGCAAAAAAUUUAAGGAAAAUAUUUUUUUAAAAUAGGUUUUUGGGCAAAUCUUAAGCACACAAAUGGUGCAAUCUCAUAAUUUAAGCAUAAUAGGGCACUGCACGAAGUUCUCUCCUUCUCUUUCACUCUUCCAGACAUUGUGUAAACAACAAGGCCAAGAAACGUCAAAAUCCCAUACAAAAUCAAAACAGUGCAGUGCCCUAUACAUCUAUUAAAAAUGCCUCUUGGUAACAU